GGCCCGAUCGUCUAGUGGUAGGAUACAUGCGUGAUGUAGCAUGAGACCCGUGUUCGAUUCACGGUCCGGCGA